GAUGAAGAACGUAGCGAAAUGCGAUAAGUAAUGUGAAUUGCAGAAUUCAGUGAAUCAUCGAAUCUUUGAACGCACCUUGCGCCCUUUGGCCAUUCCGAAGGGCAUGCCUGUUUGAGUAUCAUGAACACCUCAACUCUUCAUGGUUUUCCGUGAUGAGCUUGGACUUUGGGGGUCUUGCUGGCCUAUGGUCAGCUCCUCUAAAAUAAAUCAGCUUGCCAGUGUUUGGUGGGUAUCACAGGUGUGAUAACUAUCUACGCUUAUGGUUUUCCACCAGGUAACCUUCAGCAGUGGAGGUUCGCUGGAGCUCACAGAUGUGUCUCUCCUCAGUGAGGACAGCUCUUUGAAUGUUUGAUCUCAAAUCAGGUAGGACUACCCGCUGAACUUAAGCAUAUCAAUAAGCGGAGGA
rnacentral:misc_RNA from 1 species